GCGAGUGAAGCGGGAAAAGCUCAAAUUUAAAAUCUGACGGUCCUCGUGGUCGUCCGAGUUGUAAUCUGGAGAAGUGCUUUCCGUGCUGGACCGUGUACAAGUCUCUUGGAACAGAGCGUCGUAGAGGGUGAGAAUCCCGUCUUUGACACGGACUACCAGUGCUUUGUGAUGCGCUCUCGAAGAGUCGAGUUGUUUGGGAAUGCAGCUCAAAAUGGGUGGUAAAUUCCAUCUAAAGCUAAAUAUUGGCGAGAGACCGAUAGCGAACAAGUACCGUGAGGGAAAGAUGAAAAGAACUUUGGAAAGAGAGUUAAACAGUACGUGAAAUUGCUGAAAGGGAAACGCUUGAAGUCAGUCGCGUUGGGUCGGGACUCAGCCUUGCAUUUGCUCGGUUUAUUUUCCGGUCAACGGGUCAGCAUCAGUUUCGAUCGUCGGACAAUGGCCAGGGGAACGUGGCAUCUUCGGAUGUGUUAUAGCCCUUGGUCGCAUACGAUGGUUGGGACUGAGGAUCUCAGCGCGCCUUUAUGGUCGGGGUUCGCCCACGUUUGCGCUUAGGAUGCUGGCAUAAUGGCUUUAAACGACCCGUCUUGAAACACGGACCAAGGAGUCUAACAUGCAUGCGAGUGUUUGGGUGGAAAACCCGAGCGCGUAAUGAAAGUGAAAGUUGAGACCUCUGUCGUGGAGGGCAUCGACGCCCGGACCUGACCUUCUGUGACGGCCCUGCGGUAGAGCAUGUAUGUUGGGACCCGAAAGAUGGUGAACUAUGCCUGAAUAGGGUGAAGCCAGAGGAAACUCUGGUGGAGGCUCGUAGCGAUUCUGACGUGCAAAUCGAUCGUCAAAUUUGGGUAUAGGGGCGAAAGACUAAUCGAACCAUCUAGUAGCU
rnacentral:rRNA from 1 species